CGUAUAUUAAAGUUGUUGCAGUUAAAAAGCUCGUAGUUGGAUUUGUGGCAGGUGCGUGCGGCCCGACACUGUGUGUGGGUGCUUGUGCGCGCCGCCAUCCUUGGGUGGAACCUGUGUGGCAUUAGGUUGUCGUGCAGGGGAUGCCCAUCUUUUACUGUGAAAAAAUUAGAGUGUUCAAAGCAGGCUUAUGCCGUUGAAUAUAUUAGCAUGGAAUAAUGAGAUAGGACCUUGGUACUAUUUUGUUGGUUUGCGCACCAAGGUAAUGAUUAAUAGGGACAGUUGGGGGUAUUCGUAUUCCAUUGUCAGAGGUGAAAUUCUUGGAUUUCUGGAAGACGAACUACUGCGAAAGCAUUUACCAAGGAUGUUUUCAUUAAUCAAGAACGAAAGUUAGGGGAUCGAAGAUGAUUAGAUACCAUCGUAGUCUUAACCAUAAACUAUGCCGACAAGGGAUUGGCGGGGUUUCAUUUUGUCUCCGUCAGCACCUUAUGAGAAAUCACAAGUCUUUGGGUUCCGGGGGGAGUAUGGUCGCAAGG
rnacentral:rRNA from 1 species